rnacentral:rRNA from 1 species
ACGAGCGCAACCCUUUUCCUUACUUGCCAGCAUUUCGGAUGGGAACUUUAAGGAUACUGCCAGUGACAAACUGGAGGAAGGCGGGGACGACGUCAAGUCGUCAUGGCCCUUACGGCCAGGGCUACACACGUGCUACAAUGGUCGGUACAAAGGGUUGCUACACAGCGAUGUGAUGCUAAUCUCAAAAAGCCGAUCGUAGUCCGGAUUGGAGUCUGCAACUCGACUCCAUGAAGUCGGAAUCGCUAGUAAUCGCGGAUCAGAAUGCCGCGGUGAAUACGUUCCCGGGCCUUGUACACACCGCCCGUCACACCAUGGGAGUUUGUUGCACCAGAAGUAGCUAGCCUAACUGCAAAGAGGGCGGUUACCACGGUGUGGCCGAUGACUGGGGUG